GAUGAACGCUGGCGGCGUGCCUAAUACAUGCAAGUCGAGCGAACAGACGAGGAGCUUGCUCCUCUGACGUUAGCGGCGGACGGGUGAGUAACACGUGGAUAACCUACCUAUAAGACUGGGAUAACUUCGGGAAACCGGAGCUAAUACCGGAUAAUAUAUUGAACCGCAUGGUUCAAUAGUGAAAGACGGUUUUGCUGUUACUUAUAGAUGGAUCCCCGCCGCAUUAGCUAGUUGGUAAGGUAACGGCCUACCAAGGCGACGAUGCGUAGCCGACCUGGGAGGGUGAUCGGCCAAACGGGAACUGAGCCACGGUCCAGACUCCUACGGGAGGCAGCGGUAGGGAACCUUCCGCAAUGGGCGAAAGCCUGACGGAGCAACGCCGCGUGAGUGAUGAAGGUCUUCGGAUCGUAAAACUCUGUUAUUAGGGAAGAACAAAUGUGUAAGUAACUAUGCACGUCUUGACGGUACCUAAUCAGAAAGCCACGGCUAACUACGUG
rnacentral:rRNA from 1 species